AGGGGGGGGGCUACGUAGUGCUGUACUGCGAGUCGAGCGGACAGAUGGGAACUUGCUCCCUGAUGUUAGCGGCGGACGGGUGAGUAACACGUGGGUAACCUGCCUGUAAGACUGGGAUAACUCCGGGAAACCGGGGCUAAUACCGGAUGGUUGUUUGAACCGCAUGGUUCAGACAUAAAAGGUGGCUUCGGCUACCACUUACAGAUGGACCCGCGGCGCAUUAGCUAGUUGGUGAGGUAACGGCUCACCAAGGCGACGAUGCGUAGCCGACCUGAGAGGGUGAUCGGCCACACUGGGACUGAGACACGGCCCAGACUCCUACGGGAGGCAGCAGUAGGGAAUCUUCCGCAAUGGACGAAAGUCUGACGGAGCAACGCCGCGUGAGUGAUGAAGGUUUUCGGAUCGUAAAGCUCUGUUGUUAGGGAAGAACAAGUGCCGUUCAAAUAGGGCGGCACCUUGACGGUACCUAACCAGAAAGCCACGGCUAACUACGUGCCAGCAGCCGCGGUAAUACGUAGGUGGCAAGCGUUGUCCGGAAUUAUUGGGCGUAAAGGGCUCGCAGGCGGUUUCUUAAGUCUGAUGUGAAAGCCCCCGGCUCAACCGGGGAGGGUCAUUGGAAACUGGGGAACUUGAGUGCAGAAGAGGAGAGUGGAAUUCCACGUGUAGCGGUGAAAUGCGUAGAGAUGUGGAGGAACACCAGUGGCGAAGGCGACUCUCUGGUCUGUAACUGACGCUGAGGAGCGAAAGCGUGGGGGAGCGAACAGGAUUAGAUACCCUGGUAGUCCACGCCGUAAACGAUGAGUGCUAAGUGUUAGGGGGUUUUCCGCCCCUUUAAUGCUGCAGUCUAACUCAUUUAAUCACUUCCGCCUGGGGGAGUUAUUGUCGC
rnacentral:rRNA from 1 species